AGCUACAUUGUCUGCUGGGUUUCAGGCCAGCAGAAUAAUUCUGCUCU
rnacentral:pre_miRNA from 1 species